GGACACGUGAAAUCCUGUCUGAAGAUGGGGGGACCAUCCUCCAAGGCUAAAUACUCGUAAUCGACCGAUAGUGAACAAGUACCGUGAGGGAAAGGCGAAAAGAACCCCGGGAGGGGAGUGAAAUAGACCUGAAACCAAAUGCUUAGAAGCAGUCGGAGCAGCAAUUGCUGUGACGGCGUACCUCUUGUAUAAUGGGUCAGCGACUUAGUUUAUCGAGCAAGCUUAAGCCGUUAGGUGUAGGCGAAGCGAAAGCAAGUCUGAAUAGGGCGUUGAGUUCGAUGAAUUAGACCCGAAACCCGGUGAUCUAGCCAUGACCAGGCUGAAGGUUGAGUAACAUCAACUGGAGGGCCGAACUCGUUAAUGUUGAAAAAUUAUGAGAUGAGUUGUGGUUAGGGGUGAAAGGCCAAUCAAACCGGGAGAUAGCUGGUUCUCCGCGAAAUCUAUUUAGGUAGAGCGUUAUGUUUAAUUAGUUGCCGAAGGUAGAGCACUAGAUGGGCUAGGGGGUCCUACAGACUUACCAAACUCAACUAAACUCCGAAUGUCGGUAACUGUAUCAUAGCAGGCAGACUGUGGGUGCUAAGAUCCAUGGUCGAAAGGGAAACAGCCCAGAUCGCCAUCUAAGGUCCCUAAAUCGUGACUAAGUGUGUAAGGAAGUGGAAAAACCAAAACAGCUAGGAGGUUGGCUUAGAAGCAGCCAUCCUUUAAAGAAAGCGUAACAGCUCACUAGUCUAAUUAAGUUUUUCUGCGCCGACAAUGUAACGGGGCUCAAGUCACGUACCGAAGAUGCGAAUUUACACUAUUAAAGUGUAAGUGGUAGCGGAGCGUUCCGUAAGUCUGUGAAGGUGAAUCGUGAGGUUUGCUGGAGAUAUCGGAAGUGAGAAUGCUGACAUAAGUAACGAUUAAGAAUGUGAGAAACAUUCUCGCCGAAAGUCCAAGGUUUCCUACGUAAAGGUAAUCUGCGUAGGGUUAGCCGGCCCCUAAGACGAGGCUGAAAGGCGUAGUCGAUGGGAAUCAGGUUAAUAUUCCUGAGCCUGAGGGUAGUGACGGAGUAACUAAAUUGUAUGUGCUUAAUGGAUUGUGCAUGCAGUGAAAGACUUCCAGGAAAUAGCUCCCUCAAUAUAGACCGUACCCCAAACCGACACAGGUGGACAAGUAGAAUAUACUAAGGUGUUUGAGAGAACGAUGCUGAAGGAACUAGGCAAAUUGCAUCCGUAACUUCGGAAGAAGGAUGACCUAUGUUUGGGCAACCAGAUAUAGGUGGCACAGAAUCGGGGGUAGCAACUGUUUAUUAAAAACACAGGGCUCUGCAAAGUCAAUAGACGAAGUAUAGGGCCUGACGCCUGCCCAGUGCUGGAAGAUUAAAAGGAGGGGUGCAAGCUCUGAAUUGAAGUCCCAGUGAACGGCGGCCGUAACUAUGACGGUCCUAAGGUAGCGAAAUUCCUUGUCGGGUAAGUUCCGAC
rnacentral:rRNA from 1 species